ensembl:lncRNA
CUGAUAGUGCCUGGCCUCUGCUGAAAUGCGUGCUGCAGCAGAAGUCUCAAGGCUUGACUGUAUUCGCUCUCAAGAGGUUGUAAGUCAGCAUGAAAUACCUCUUCCAAAUACAAUGUCCCUCUUAGUGUCAAGUUCAUGAGCCUAAGUAGCUUAGAAUAUCUUGUAUAUAUAAAUCUGUGAUUAGAGUUUAAUGAGCUUAUGGUUUAAAUUACUUCACUGAAUAAACUCCAUGCAUAAUUUUAAACAUAUUCCACCAUGGGAGUAUUUUUAAACCUUACUAACCAAUGUUGUCAAAGUACCUUUAAAAGAAUCUCAUAAAGCAAUUUAUCUCGUCACAAAAUCAGGACAAAAAAUGAACAGGAUGACUUCUUCUCUGAAGAUGCUGCUCUCUCUGCAUUGACUAUAAAGUAAGUUUAAAUGGCCGUAUUAAAUUACAUAAGAGAUGACAAAGUGAGGAGACAGGAAUACCAUGAUAAAUCCAGAUUCUUGGCAGUUGCAUAAAGUGCUUCUCUUCUGGACUCUGGACCUGAUGGUUUGCAGUCUCAGCGCUGGAUGGACAGUUACUUGCUGAAGGACCUUCCAGAUGUGAGGCCACUUGCUGAACAAGCAGCAAAACUGUCCCUGUUCUCUGCAUGAAUGUCAAUAUGGGCCAACUGAGGAAGAAGCAGUGGCACCCCAGUGAAAAAGCCUCUCAGCUAACCCUGCACUUGAUUUUAAAUUGGGAUAUUUCUGCCCUCCUUUGGUGUGUGCCUGAUCGAACAACAUCAGGAUUAGGUAUGGAAAUAAGAACAUCCCUACUACUUCUGCAGUUAUUGAUGGCACAGCUCAACACUCAAUAAGGUAAGACCUGAAUGCAAGGAAAAAGGAAAUUGCUCCUUUCUCUGCAAUGUGACUGAAUGUAUCAGAUCUCAAAAGAUCACAGAAUUUAAAAAGGAAUGAAGUCCCUGCUGAUUGUUCCUACUCUGGUUUAGGAAUUGCUUUUGCACUAGCUACAAUUUAGAAACUGGUAUCAUUACCAUCCAGCAGAAUGUCCUGUUUCUCUACAUAUCACUUAUGUGACCAGUGGCUGAGGAAGCCCCCAGAAUGGCAGUAAGCUACAAUUCCUGCCAGAACAUCCUGAUGUGUUGUUUUUGGAGCCCUCUAGCAGCACUGCAGUGAGCACAAGCCGUGAACUUGCAGUGUUCUCCCUGUGCUGGGAAUGCAGGUCCCUGUGCAUUAGAGUGUGCUGAUACCACCUCUGAUUCCUAAGUCUUUGCAACAAAUGGCAUUGGUUAAAGGGCAGUUUAGCCUGAAGCUUGAAGCUCUACUAAUACUCCCUCAACCCAUUUUGCUGUUCCUGAGGCUACUUCCAAUAGAAUUGGGAUAGUACAGAAUCCUACUCCAAGGAGUUUCAAUAUUCUGGCUUCUUUACUGCAGAAAACCCAGGUGAAAUGGCCAACAAUUUCAAAUAGUCCCAGGGAAACAUUAGCAAAUGGUUCUUUAUUUCUACUGAGGACUAAACCACAAGGCUACAUUCAAAAUUUGGAAUAUUUUUUUUUUGCAACCUCUUUCCGGUCCAAGAAUUGACCAUUUUAACAUGUUUUGUGCUACUUGUGUUAUUUGUUAUUUUGGCUGUGAGAUCAUACCGAGAGUAGUUAAUGGCUCAGUGUCUGGAUAGAAAUCAGUGAUGAAUGGUGUUCCUACAUGCUCUUCAAUGGCACUGACAGCAAGUUUGUGGAUGAACAAGUUGUGUGGUGCAGUUAGUUGACAUGCCUGAGGGAUGUGAUGCCAUUCAGAGAGACACAGGCUGAGCAGUGGGUUCAGUGGAGUCUCAUGAGGCUUAACAAAUCCAAGUGCAAU